rnacentral:rRNA from 1 species
CGCCCUUAGAGUUUGAUCCUGGCUCAAGAUGAACUCUAUCUACAGGCUUAACACAUGCAAGUCGAGGGGCAGCGGGAUUGAAGCUUGCUUCAAUUGCCGGCGACCGGCGCACGGGUGAGUAACGCGUAUCCAACCUUCCGUACACUCAGGGAUAGCCUUUCAAAAGAAAGAUUAAUACCUGAUGGUAUCUUAAGCACACAUGUAAUUAAGAUUAAAGAUUUAUCGGUGUACGAUGGGGAUGCGUUCCAUUAGGUAGUAGGCGGGGUAACGGCCCACCUAGCCAACGAUGGAUAGGGGUUCUGAGAGGAAGGUCCCCCACAUUGGAACUGAGACACGGUCCAAACUCCUACGGGAGGCAGCAGUGAGGAAUAUUGGUCAAUGGACGAGAGUCUGAACCAGCCAAGUAGCGUGAAGGAUGAAGGUCCUACGGAUUGUAAACUUCUUUUAUAAGGGAAUAAACCCUCCCACGUGUGGGAGCUUGUAUGUACCUUAUGAAUAAGCAUCGGCUAACUCCGUGCCAGCAGCCGCGGUAAUACGGAGGAUGCGAGCGUUAUCCGGAUUUAUUGGGUUUAAAGGGAGCGCAGACGGGUCGUUAAGUCAGCUGUGAAAGUUUGGGGCUCAACCUUAAAAUUGCAGUUGAUACUGGCGUCCUUGAGUGCGGUUGAGGUGUGCGGAAUUCGUGGUGUAGCGGUGAAAUGCUUAGAUAUCACGAAGAACUCCGAUUGCGAAGGCAGCACACUAAUCCGUAACUGACGUUCAUGCUCGAAAGUGUGGGUAUCAAACAGGAUUAGAUACCCUGGUAGUCCACACGGUAAA